CCUUGAAAUGGGCUGAGUCCCUCUUGCUCACCCUUGACUUGGAAAAACCAGUUUCUCUUUUAUUGUCUGUUACUAAUCUCUAUUCUAAAAAUUCAGCUCAAUUCUCAACCAUACUCCAAACUCUCUCUUUUCCAGCUACCUUUACUCCCUCUCCUUCAAUUCCACUUUCCUCUGCUUACUUUUUUUUUUUUUCUGACAGGGUCUCACUUUGUCGCCCGGGCAGGAGUGCAGUGGCUCAAUCUUGGGCUCACUGCAGCCUCAACCUCCCAGAGGCGGGGUUUCACCAUGUUGCCCAGACUGGUCUUGAACUCCUGAGCUUAAGCAAUCCACCUGCCUCGGCCUCCCAAAGUGUUGGGAUCACAGGCGUGAGCCACCGCAUCCGGCCUCAUGUUCUUUUUCAUUAAAGAGAGAAAUCAACUAUUCAGGACCGGCCCCCACCUUUCCUCAGGAGUCAUUUCUGUUCCGCACAGGCCUGCUGAACUGGGUGCUUUAUAUAGGACACUGUCAUCUCUCAAGUACCCAUCUUGGAGGGUACGGACCCCACAUGAGGAAAGGACCAACCACACCGAGCUCAGUUAUGGCACACACAGUGGGACCUAGACAAAGGGAGAGGGUGACCGACAUCCCAACUAGGGUCCCCAGGCAGGUGGCUGGGACACUAUUUGCAAUCAGCAAGGAACCCUGCUGCCCUUAGACUCCCCACAGAGCAAGCAGAACUUGCAGAAUGGGGUAAAAACACUCUAUUAAAGAUUUUUUAAACCUAUUUAUAUUGUAAUAAAGUAAAUGUAAAUAAAAUUUAAGUGAAGGCA
rnacentral:lncRNA from 1 species